UACGUAGGGGGCAAGCGUUGUCCGGAAUCAUUGGGCGUAAAGAGCGCGUAGGCGGCCCAGUCAGUCCGCUCUGAAAGUCGGGGGCUCAACCCUCGGAUGCCGGUGGAUACUGUCGGGCUUGAGUACGGAAGAGGCGAGUGGAAUUCCUGGUGUAGCGGUGAAAUGCGCAGAUAUCAGGAGGAACACCAAUUGCGAAGGCAGCUCGCUGGGACGUUACUGACGCUGAGACGCGAAAGCGUGGGGAGCAAACAGG
rnacentral:rRNA from 1 species